UACGUAGGGCGCAAGCGUUGUCCGGAAUGAUUGGGCGUAAAGAGCUCGUAGGCGGCUUGUCACGUCGGGUGUGAAAGCCCGGGGCUUAACCCCGGGUCUGCAUUCGAUACGGGCAGGCUAGAGUGUGGUAGGGGAGAUCGGAAUUCCUGGUGUAGCGGUGAAAUGCGCAGAUAUCAGGAGGAACACCGGUGGCGAAGGCGGAUCUCUGGGCCAUUACUGACGCUGAGGAGCGAAAGCGUGGGGAGCGAACAGG
rnacentral:rRNA from 1 species